rnacentral:rRNA from 1 species
AACGCUGGCGGCGUGCUNUGAGUACAUGCAAGCUCGUGGGAGAAAGUCGUAGCAAUACNGGCAAGUAAACCGGCGCACGGGUGAGUAACACGUGGAUAACCUGCCUUAGAGUCUGGGAUAACCCGUCGAAAGACGAGCUAAUACCGGAUAAGACCACGGGAAGUUCGCUUCCUGAGGUAAAAGAUGGCCUCUGCUCCUGCAAGCUAUCACUUUGAGAGGGGUCCGCGUCCUAUCAGCUAGUUGGCGAGGUAACGGCUCACCAAGGCUAAGACGGGUAGCUGGUCUGAGAGGAUGGUCAGCCACACUGGGACUGAGACACGGCCCAGAGUCCUACGGGAUGCAGCAGUCAGGAAUAUUGCGCAAUGGAGGAAACUCUGACGCAGCAACGCCGCGUGGAGGAUGAAGUCCCUUGGGACGUAAACUCCUUUCGAUCGGGACGAUAAUGACGGUACCGGAAGAAGAAGCCCCGGCUAACUUCGUGCCAGCAGCCGCGG